AGGGAUGAAGGCCUUCGGGUCGUAAACCUCUUUCGAUCGGGAAAAACGGCCCUGUGAAGAGCGGGGUCUGAUGGUACCGGUGGAAGAAGCCCCGGCUAACUACGUGC
rnacentral:rRNA from 1 species